UAAAUGUUCAAAUGAAUCAGUCAUGGGUUGACGCUAUCACUACUACAAUUAAGGCACAAAGUUGAAUUAUUAUUGUAAACUUUAAUGCACAAUGUACAUUAGAAAUGUAAGAGAUUUAUAAAAAUUAGGUCAUUAUUGUUCAUUUUCGAACCAAGUAGGUACAUCAAAGCAAUUCCAUAAACGCAAACUAAACGCGACUUCCUCAUAUCAAUAUUUGUAGGUAGGUACUCUAAAUCACAAGGUCGAACACGUAAUACGAAGUGCUUUACUCGAAUUUGGACAGAUUAACGGUGACUGAAACUAUUAUAUAGCUUUUAGUGAUUAUAUAAAUAUAAUGAAAAAGCUGGCUGAUUUACCAAUUUGUAUUUCGUUACUCGAAAGUAAGUACUCGUAAGUGCACACUCAACUGGUGCUGGUGCUGAUCAUUCUUAAUUUCAAAAUUAUCUUGGCUAAACACUCCACACCGUCAUGUUCAAUCGGAUUUCUCCAACUUUUGCCUUAACUUUAUACGCCAUUACGUCGAUUUUGGGCGCUCAUAUCUCAGAUUCAAAUUCAGCUUGCGGAGAAUUCUGCCAAAAUAAUAACAAUUAUUCGAAUGAUACAAUCGAUGAAAUUUGCAACGCCCUAUGUGACGAAGAAUCGACAGAGAUUGGAUCAUGCGAAUGGGUGAAUGUUGAAGAUGGAUCGGAAACAUUCAAAUGUAAGAUGGUUACUUGCGACUGUAAAGAUGGUCUACAUUGUGUUGAUUUUAUCGAAAACGAGCUCCGGUGGUAUGAUUACGACGAAGACGAAAACACAUGCUAUCAAGCGGAAUUUCCCGAAAAAGAUCAGCCAUCAGUAGUUUAUCCAAAACAACACCAGUAAUCCGAUGAAAUUUCAAACCGAAUGCCCCAUUCGUUCAGUAUUUAAAUAUGUAGGUAUGUAGGUACCUCUAAAAGGCGAACAUUUGUGAAAUUAAUUCCACAACAUAUUCAAUUACACUAUUAAGGAUUCCAAUUAACUUUGCAUACCAUAGAAAUAACGGGUUGCAUCUAACAAAAAAAAAGUAUGUCAAACUUCAAAAAAUUAUAAUACAGUAUGUACCUUUUAACGAAA